ACUUUCCUUUUACAAAUAAAUCUCAGCCGUGAACGUACGCAAUAACAAUUUAAUCUCAGCCUUUCAUCUCAUCCUUCUCAUCUAUAAAUACCACCGCACCGCUUCCUAGCAUAAUCGUCCCUGGGUCUUGUGUGUUUGUGGUUCCGUGGGGCGGUGGACGGUGUAGUCGGUAACGUUGUUUUUCUAAUUACUUCUGCGAUUUCUUUAGUUGUUAAGAUAAGAUCUGCUAUUUGUAGGUUAUCAUAUGGGCUCGUUUCAUAGUUGUUGAAUCGAUGUGCGAGAUUUAUGUUUGUGAUUUGGUAGAUCGGGGAAGAGCACAGAAGAGAACUUAUGGUUCGAUCGGUGUCUCUGGCUUUGGAUUACGGGCUUGAAGACCAAGGUCUAUCAAUAGUUAUUUUUGCUGAUUAGUUUUGAUUGAGGGAGUUGGUGUUUUGUCAUUGAAUUUUUAGUCUCCAUGUCUGUCGCACGAAGCUUGAUGAGUUUUUCAUGGAUUUCAGCUCUCGAAAAAAGAAAAUGAUAAUUUUUUUUUACGGUGCAAAUACGGUAGAGGCGGUGAUUGAUAUUUUAUUUUUUGGAUUAUUUGAAGUUUUUUUUUUCGACCUGUGGUGUUCUUUCAAGUUUCCUUCUGUUUAUGUUUCACUUCCAGAAGCUCCUUUCCAUCAACAUGCGCCUUGCAUAUUGCUGGUCAGUAUGAUAGCUGUGAUCUUUACGAACUGAACUAAAACGGCAGAUUUGGAUGUUCCCAGGUGUUUCCUUCUGUUGAGGCGUGAACUGAGAUUGAGAAAAGGAUUUAUCUUAGAUCUUCUCAUUUAUACUUCUAUUUGAAUUUGCUAAUAGCGGUCAUCAAUUAUUCUUAGUAUUGUAUUGGUGGUGUGGUUUUCCAGAUCAAGGAACGAUCUUGUGAUUGAAAUGCCAUAUGCAUCGAGAAACCCGUUGGCAAACAGUCAGGGAGCUUUCUUUAACCCCCUCUUCAGUUUUUGUUUGUCUUGAUACUAUUUAAUAUAUCACUAGUUAUUAGGCACAGAAUUUGUUUCUGAGUUUGUCCUUUUCCCUGUGUUCCAGCUUUGUAUUCGGGGAAUACGUUGACUAGGAAUGUGCAGGGAAGUUAAUUUUACCCGUUUGGAUAUCAUUGGCUCCCCCAUUAUAUGAGUAACGUCUACCACUAAGUCGAUUUAUGUUCUGAGAAUUGGUGCUUUGUGUUUCAGGGUGCCUUUUCCAGUGUUUUGAAAAAUCAAACCUAAGAUUGGUUGCAACUUGCAAGAAUGAUUAUGAUCGGGAAGUUCAUUUUUCAGGAUUUUUUUUUCAAUGUUCGAGGGAACCCCCUAACCCCCUUCUUAUUUCUUAGAGGAUGGUCAUUAUUUUUCUUUUCCUUUGAUUACUUUUUCUGUUCAUUCUCAUAUUUGGCCUUUUGCUUGUCAGGUUGGAAUGCAUUGCACAUUCCCAAUGCUGCAAUUUCUUAGAGGGUGGACUGGGUUGAUUAGGUUAUUCUUUGUUUUCUAAAACUUUGUAUCCACUAAUUUUUGUUUUUCCCCUCUUCUUUUUCCUGCCUUUUUACUUUUUAGCUAUUGAGAUUGAUCACUGGUUUUCUUAUGUCCUUAUGACUUUAUUGUAUUGAGAAUUUCCUAAAAUUUGCUAUCCUAUUGACAACGUUAUAUGUUUGUUCCUUUAAUCUUACGGUUUUUCCAGGCAGCCAAAAAAUGUUUUUCCUUGAAAGCAAGAACUUCCAAUUUUACCGGGCAGCCAAAUGCAUUGGGAAAUUCAGGGAUUUUCACGGGCGCCACUGCUUGAUGUAGGAAGUUCUUGGAUAGAAUAGUAUGUUUGCUGUUAUUUCCUAUUAUGCCUUUAGUUAUCCAUUUUUAGGUGAUCAAGUGAGAACUUGCCUUCUGUCUAUGUAGCCAGGAUCUUUGCUCAAUUUAGAAUAGCUAUGACCCACAGUUUCAUGAUUCAUCAUCUAAUUGAUUUGCUCUUCUAGAUAGCUUUAAUUGGUUUAAAUUUCAAAUGCCCAAGUUAAUCAAGUUUCCGUGCACCAAAAUACGAAUAUAAGUUUUUGAUGGUUGCUUUUGCAGGAUUUGUUUUUGCUCAUUAUCAAAUUGAUGACCUGAUGUGUUGGUUGUUGGCUGCCAUAGUAUUCUUCUCAUAAUACCAUUAUUUGUAUUUAUGUCCAUUGCUAUUUACAUGGCAAGUUUGGAUGCAUAGAGAGGUCAUUUCCUUUUCGGGAUUCUUUUGUAUUUUGGAAGACUAUGAUGGAAAUGUUGGCCCCCUCUCUUUUGCCUCGUUUGUUAAUAUGGAACCCUUGUGCCCUUUGCUCCUUUUCUCUUUCUGGAAGUAGUGGGUGAAGAUUGGUAUUUCUUAAUAUUAUAUUGAACAUUAUUUUGUUUUUGGCGCUCAAUUGUGGUUUGGAUACUAGGGCUUGUUCUUGCUGCCACAUUGUUCUCGGGUACUUGUACAGGUUUGAUUUCUUGGCCUUCGGGUUAAAACUUCUUGUCCAAUAUCAAGAUUUGGGGGGGGGGUUGAUAGUUCUACAAGCAAUUUGGUCAAUGCUGCCUAUACAUGGAUCAUUGGUUUGAGAGGUGUCUGGUCAACUAUGGGUUCAGAAUUCUUUACUCCAAAUAAUUAAAGGGGGUUGAAAUUUUGACUUUUAUCUUUUCAGGAUCUGCACUACGGCAUGGUGAAAUUCAUAGGCUUAGUAUGGUCAAAGAUUGAUCUAGGGACUAUUUCACUAAGUAAUAUAUGUUGUCCGUUCGAUCUUGUUGGUUAUGUUAUUGUUGACCAAAGCUUCGUUUUUGUAUUUGCCCAGGUUCCCUCCAGUAUUACAGGGGAUGUCACUUGUGAUCUAGAGAUCUGCUCUUCUGCAUGGAGAAAAUCAAAGACAUAGUGAGGGCAAAGAUUUAUCUAGGGAUUGUUCCACUACAUAAUUAAUAAUAUUUUGUCCUUUAGUGCUUUUGUUAGUUCAUGUUAUACCCCUCAAGUUUUAAGGUGUUGAUCAAAGCUUCGUUUGUAUUUACCCAGGUUGCCUUCAGUAUUACGGGGAGACAUCAAAUCUAGGGAGUUCAUUAGUGCUUUUGUUAGUUCAUCUUAUACACAGAAAGUUUAAGUUGUUGAUCAAAGUUUGGCCUUCAGUAUUAUGGGGAGAUAUCAGAUGCUAAAUAAUUAAUAUGUUGUCCAUUAGUUCUUUUGAAUGUUCAUGACAUACAUAGCAAGUUUAAGGUGUUGAUCAAAGUUCCAUUUUUGUAUUUGCCCAGGUUCCCUUCUGUGUUUCAGGGAGAUACCAGUUUGUGAUGGGGAGGAGUAUAUAAUGUCCUUUAGUGUUUUAUUGUAUUCGGUGUUGGUCUAAGAAAGAGAUUUUGAUGAUCCCUAAAUUCUGGAUCUGUUUCUGCAGUUAUUAUAUCCAGUUGUGGUGGUGAUUCUAACGGCUCCAGUUACCUUUGGUUUGUGAUUCAAUAUUCGAUUUUGCAUUUUGCAAGGGUUGGUCUGAGAUAUAUUUUGUGCCUAGCUGGUUCAAUGUCGAUUCUCAACAAUGUUGUUCUUUGCAAGUGUUGCUGAGACCGAAGAUCUGCUAAUUGAAGGGUUUUCCAUCUCGUAUUUUAAGUAUAUUAUUGAUAUUUGAUCAAGGUGUUCUUGGAUCUUGAUUUUUAAUUAUGAAUUCAUGCAUCCUUGAUAGCUGUAUAUCCUGAGUACUGGUUACAAAAUUUCAGGGAUUGCAUUGGGAUUCUUAAUCAAGGGUUUCUUGUGGAGAGACAUAUCAACAAAGAGUAAUUUUGGAGAUUUUCUUUUUCCUCAUCUUUUUUGUAUCUAAUGAUCUACUAGCAGAAAAUCCCUAUUGUUUAGGCUAACUGAUUUUGAGCUUGAGCUGGUAUGUUUUAUAAUGCUUAUUUUUCAGGGGACUAGUGAUUUGAUUUGAAGUGUACGGACUAAGAUUGAGUCGGGAGAUGUUAUGACAUGGGUGCCCCUUUUCAUUUUGCUUCUGUAUUCUGUGAAUCUAAAAUUUAUGAUUCUCUGCUCUUUAUAUAUAUAUCUUACAAGAAUGAGAAACUGAAUAUGAACUUGAUGUGUUUUCAGGUUCAUGUCUUUGUUUUGAUUAAUCUGUGGUAAGAAGAGAAGGGAGUACUCUUAUUUUUACAUUAUAGUUCAGAUGUUCUGUUUAUUUUGUUUUGGGUACUAGUUGUCCUUCCUAUUGAUCAAGGAAGUGAUUGAACUUUUGUUCAAUCUGCUUUACUAUUUGAUGUAUAAUUAGUUUUGUUGGCAUAAAUUGGGCAUGUUGGAACCUCAAGACCUCUCUGAGUUUAGCUUUUCCUUCCAUGAUGCAGGAUUGUUCUGGCCAUCUGUCUAACGUACUUGGUUUUCCCAGGUUUCCCACCUUAUGUUUGCAAUUGAGUUCAUAUGCAUUUUGUGCUCCAGCUUUCUGAGGGAAUAGGGCUUAAAAUCUUAAUUGUUUAUAGUAAUUGCAGUGUGUUCCUUAUAGAUGAUCUUGUGUUUCCACUUUCCAGUAUUGAACCGGAUGAAUACGGUGAAUAUUUCUUUACUCGUGAGGAUCCUGCUUUAUGAUGGAUUGAUUAUAGUGUUGUUGCUUUAAUCCAUCCUUCCUUUGUUCUCCAUAAUUUUGUUAGAUAUGGUGAGAUAUGAAGUGGUUGAGAUGGAGCCUGUUUGUUGGGUCCUCAAGUUUACACAAUUUGCUCUUUUGCAGUUGUUGGAUGGGUUGGAACAAUUUGCUCUUUUGCAGUUGUUGGAUGGGUUGGAAGUAGAACGGUACAUCUUGUAUGUUUUUUUAUCAUAUAGUUAUAUUGAUUUUAGUCCUGGAAAGAGAAUGCGGGUUUGGAUCUGUUGGCUUGUGUCAUCUCCAUCUCUCUCUCUGUCUUACAAGCAAUGUAUAUCAUGCCAUGGCCUAUUUUUCUGAUGAUGACAACUUUGCAAUUAUUUCGUUCACUGGAGGUUCUUUCAUGAUGUUGAUAAGGGAAAAAAAGGCAGCAAGAAAAUAGAAGCUGGUUGGUUUAUGAGAUGGUAAUCUAAGCUGGUAAUCUAUCUGAACAUUGCCGUUUCUUCUUCUCGCUCUAUCUUGUCUGCAUCAUUCUUUAAUUAGUGGUGAUGAUGAGACUAUCUAAGCUGUUAUCUUGUCUGCAUCAUUCUUUAAUUAGUGGUGAUGAUGAGACAGACUAAAACUUUGUUAUUAUUUCAAAGUUGUGCCUGUGACCUAUUCGUUAGGUUUUGCUUCUCUGAUUGUACGGCUUCUCAUCUCUAAGGCAGAACAUUCAUCCUUGUGCAUCUCAAAUAUCUCAAGGCGACAUGUUUUAGUCAUUAUUGGAAUGAUCUUUUUGGCUCUGUAUACACUCUUUAUGUAAUGAUGAGAUGGAUCUUUGGCUAUCUGGUCUCUCAAUCAGGUGCUCUUGUGAAGUUGCACAUAUGUUGGGAAAAAUUGGAUGGAAGAGGUUUAUUGUUUUGGUGAUGAUCUAGUGCUUUGAUGUUAAUAACUCUGGCUGAAUGAUGUUGCUGAUGAUCUUCCACUUGCUUGCACUGUUGGUUUAUUCAGACUGCAUAGACUUCUUUAAGACACACUUUGAUAAUGGCGUACGUCAUCUAAUAAUGCGGCCUUCUUAAUCUGACAUUUACAUGCCUUCUCGAAGCGGGAUUUAUGAUUAGCUUCAUCGGUUUCCUGCUUUUUAUAGUUGAUAUAUAUGUUGUUUGAAUGUGUUUGAUGUGCUUACUGAACGUCCAGCAUGUCUGUCUUUUUCCUUUUUUUUUUUUUUCUUAUUUUUUAUCCUGAGCAUUUGUGUGGUUAUUUAAUGCAUGUAACUCCGCCUGUGUCGCAAGUACACAGCUGGUCCCAAGCCCAGAUAAAAGGAGGAGGGGUUGCAUAUUUGCUUGUGCUUGGUUAAGUAGCAAGUAGCAGUCUGUAUUCUGUCUUUUAGUGUUGGAAUCGGCUUUGGGCUUGUAAUUAAUUUGAAGUUGAUUGGUGACUCUAGAGAAUUGCGCAGCGCAACAUGGUGUGCAGCACCUGGUGAUGUCUCCAUCCACGGCUAAUCUCUUCUAGCUGUAAUGGCAUGACAUAUUUGAAAGGUAUUUGCCUGGUUGAAGCUUUUCAUUUGGGCGUGAUCCUAUCCUGUCAAUUGCGCUCUUGUAUAAUAGUUCAAUUGAAUCUCAAUCUCCUGGCCUGGGUUAUCGGUCGUUGUACAAGUUUAUCGACAUUGAUUUUGUAUUUAUAUGUACAUCCUAUUAAAUAAAAACGAGAUCUAUACAGAAAAUUGGUUGGUUUGCUUAAA